GGCAGACUGAUUUUCUAGAAGCGACAUGAUCAUCUCAUUCGGGGAAUUUAAAAACCUGAACUUCGUCUUGCCAAAACUGGGUAUACACCAAACGGAAAUGUAUUUUUUAUGA